rnacentral:rRNA from 1 species
UACGUAGGGUGCGAGCGUUAAUCGGAAUUACUGGGCGUAAAGCGUGCGCAGGCGGUUGUGUAAGACAGGUGUGAAAUCCCCGGGCUUAACCUGGGAACUGCGCUUGUGACUGCACAGCUAGAGUAUGGCAGAGGGGGUGGAAUUCCACGUGUAGCAGUGAAAUGCGUAGAGAUGUGGAGGAACACCGAUGGCGAAGGCAGCCCCUGGGCCAAUACUGACGCUCAUGCACGAAAGCGUGGGAGCAACAGG